UACCGCGUGGUGGAUUGCUGUUUUCGUACUGUUGCUUUCUUAUCACGGAUCGGCCCAAUUUUUAGAGGACAAUUGUGGAAUCAUUAAUCCAUAUCUCGAUGCUAAAUGGAUUUCCCCACCUUGGUUGGCAGAGAUUCGAACAGAUUCAAAAAAAAUAUGCGCUGCCAGCCUUAUUAACCGAAAUUACGUCCUGACAGCUGCAAGUUGCAUAAAAAACCAUACGGAACUCAUCGUCCGCUUAGGAAACUAUAACAGUCAUGAGGACUUGUAUGUAACAAAUGUAUUCGUGCACAAGUCUUAUUCGGCCAGCAGUUUUGAGCACGAUAUUUGCCUUCUUCGGCUGGAAACGGAAGUUGAAUUUAAGGCACAUAUACAACCGAUAUGCAUUUCAAGAAGCACGGAAAACAAACCCAGGGCCUACAGCUAUGAGAUAUUCAACGAGAAGCCCAGAAUAGGCGAUUGGUGCUCGAUCAAGGUUAUUUUUGGCAGCCGUUGUGCAAGUGAUAAGGAAAAAGAAUAUUUAGAUUCUGUGAUUAUUGGGAGUCCUUCGACCCGAACAAUUCCAUUUGGACCCUUACUACGCUACGAACUACAGGGAAUCCUUAGUCAUCGCAAUCCCAAAACAUUUGCUGACGUGUAUAUUAAUGUUUCGGCGUAUGCCGACUGGA